GCCUUCGUAAUGUAGAGGUCAGCACGCUCGACGCGUAUUCGAGAGGUCCGUGGUUCGAGUCCCGGCGAAGGCA
rnacentral:tRNA from 1 species